rnacentral:rRNA from 1 species
AACGAACGCUGGCGGCAGGCCUAACACAUGCAAGUCGAACGCUCUAGCAAUAGGGAGUGGCGCACGGGUGAGUAACGCGUAGGAAUCUACCCAUUAGCCUGGGAUAACAGCGGGAAACUGAUGCUAAUACCGGACACGCGCCUUCGGGGGGAAAUGUUUACUACUUAUGGAUGAGCCUGCGUUAGAUUAGCUAGUUGGUGAGGUAAUGGCGCACCAAUGCUCCGAUCUAUAGCCGGUCUUAGAUGACGAUCGGCCACACUGGGGCUGAGACACGGCCCAGACUCCUACGGGAGGCAGCAGUGGGGAAUAUUGGGCAAUGGGCGCAAGCCUGACCCAGCCAUGCCGCGUGAGUGAUUAAGGCCUUAGGGUUGUAAAGCUCUUUUAGUAGUGAAGAUGAUGACAGUAGCUACAUAAAAAGCCCCGGCUAACUUCGUGCCAGCCGCCGCCGUAA